UAGCAUGAAGUCAGACAAGUGAACCCGCUGAAUUUAA
rnacentral:rRNA from 1 species